AUACGUAGGUGGCGAGCGUUGUCCGGAUUUACUGGGUGUAAAGGGCGAGUAGGCGGAUGAGCAAGUCAGAUGUGAAAUACCGGGGCUUAACCCCGGGGCUGCAUUUGAAACUGCUUAUCUUGAGUGAUGGAGAGGCAGGCGGAAUUCCCGGUGUAGCGGUGGAAUGCGUAGAUAUCGGGAGGAACACCAGUGGCGAAGGCGGCCUGCUGGACAUUAACUGACGCUGAGGAGCGAAAGCGUGGGGAGGC
rnacentral:rRNA from 1 species